rnacentral:rRNA from 1 species
UGGGGAAUAUUGCACAAUGGGCGCAAGCCUGAUGCAGCGACGCCGCGUGAGGGAUGACGGCCUUCGGGUUGUAAACCUCUUUCAGCAGGGAAGAAGCGAGAGUGACGGUACCUGCAGAAGAAGCGCCGGCUAACUACGUGCCAGCAGCCGCGGUAAUACGUAGGGCGCAAGCGUUGUCCGGAAUUAUUGGGCGUAAAGAGCUCGUAGGCGGCUUGUCGCGUCGGUUGUGAAAGCCCGGGGCUUAACCCCGGGUCUGCAGUCGAUACGGGCAGGCUAGAGUUCGGUAGGGGAGAUCGGAAUUCCUGGUGUAGCGGUGAAAUGCGCAGAUAUCAGGAGGAACACCGGUGGCGAAGGCGGAUCUCUGGGCCGAUACUGACGCUGAGGAGCGAAAGCGUGGGGAGCGAACAGG